AUUGAACGCUGGCGGCAUGCUUUACACAUGCCGGUCGAACGGCAGCGCGGGCUUCGGCCUGGCGGCGAGUGGCGAACGGGUGAGUAAUACAUCGGAACGUGCCCAGUAGUGGGGGAUAGCUCGGCGAAAGCCGGAUUAAUACCGCAUACGACCUGAGGGUGAAAGCGGGGGAUCUUCGGACCUCGCGCUAUUGGAGCGGCCGAUGGCAGAUUAGCUAGUUGGUGGGGUAAAGGCCUACCAAGGCGACGAUCUGUAGCUGGUCUGAGAGGACGACCAGCCACACUGGGACUGAGACACGGCCCAGACUCCUACGGGAGGCAGCAGUGGGGAAUUUUGGACAAUGGGCGAAAGCCUGAUCCAGCAAUGCCGCGUGGGUGAUGAAGGCCUUCGGGUUGUAAAGCACUUUUGGCGGGAACGAAAAGGACUGUGCCAAUACCACGGUUCGAUGACGGUACCCGCAGAAUAAGCACCGGCUAACUACGU
rnacentral:rRNA from 1 species